CCCUAGCCCUGAUAGCAACGAAAAUCCUUAUAUGCCGGCGUUCGGCAUAUAAGAUUGUAGUGAAUAGCAGGAAAUAGC
rnacentral:sRNA from 1 species